rnacentral:misc_RNA from 1 species
UCAGUACGUACAGUAUUUACAGGAGAAGGUACAGAAGUAUGAAGGACCAUAUCAGCCUUGGAGCUCAGAGCCUACAAAGCUUAUGCCAUGGAGAAACAGUCAUUGGCGCAUGCAAAGUUUACCUGCACAGCCACAUGCCUUGAAGAAUGGUAGUGGCCCAGAAUCAACAUACCUGGGAAGGUUUGAUGAAAAUCUCGCUACUGUUACUUCUACGAUGCAACCAAAUCAGCAGAAUCCAAUUGAAUCUCAUACUAGCAGGGAUGUAUCAUUUAAAGCACUUGAUCAACAAAAUGAACUAGCUAACAAGUCAAUCACAACACCCAUUCCUCUUCAGGCCGGUAUGAAGAUGUCAGUGCCAAACAAUAGUGCUUUCUCAGAGCCUCAACCCAGACCAGUGUCUGAUCAAUGUCCUAACACAAUUGAUGCUCUGAAUCAUGACGAGGAUGACGUAAUAGAUGGAGGCAGAAUCAGCCUUUCAAGUUCAUACUCGCAGGGGUUUCUAACUUCGUUGUCGCAAGCGCUGCAGAGUACUGGUCUAGAUCUUUCAAAGGCUACUAUCUCAGUGCAGAUUGAUUUUGGGAAGCGCGCAAACCAAGCAAUGACCUCAGGGCCAUCUAUUGCGAAGGAUGACGAGAAUCCUACUCUCUCUGGUCAUCAACAUACGGAUCAUUUCAGAGAGGCAAGCAAUGACGAAGAUAUGAACCAAGCUCAAAAGAGGCUGA